AUUAAUGAAAAUGCAGAUGGUGCAGUAUUCUAGUCAGCACACUAUUUUUGAAGGCGGGCCUAAAAAUCCGUCAAAAGGCAUAUCGAUGAAGUUUCUUUUGACAGCUGCUGACGCCCAGUUGGGGGCUGUUAGGGGAAGUUAAGGGCUUGGGGCGAUCCACAAUGGCAUGUGGGCGUUGACCCCUUUCCCGUGGAGGUCUGGUUUUGUUAUAUAUUAUAGAGCGAAAUCGGGUUCACCUGCCUAAACCGCAAGGUUUGGUAGUGUAGCCUGCUUUGAAGUGGUACUGGAGACAGUAGCAAAACAAAUGAGCCUGGAUCCAGCUCUUUGUGGAACCUGCUGGAAACUUUUACUGCAAAAGAAGCUAGGGAAUAGUUAAGUGCUGUUAAGGAAAACUUCUAGACUGUCUGUUUGUUCAGGGUAUGACGGGGAUUAAAGUGUGCUCUUAGUGGCAAUCCAGUUCUGUAGAGGGAGACCCUGCAGCCGGGAUUUAAAGAGAAAUCAUCUGAAUGGUGACAUUCAGGUAUUCCGGGGGAAAACCUACUGGACCUAUGGUACAGCAUUUACCUGUCAUACUACCAUCUGUUAUUUAAAUAAA
rnacentral:sRNA from 1 species